CGGUCAGUGCGACACUUCCAGUGGAUGCUGGACACGGUGUGUUUCCUCUUAGGUUUGUUAUAUUCCUUUAACAAUCGGAAGUAUAAUUAACACAAAUAAAUUCAGAGUAAUUAAGUGAUUGUUUAAACAAUAGGACUUAGGUACAAAGUACCGCCCUAAGUUACCAAGAGUUCGGGGAAGGUUUAGAAUAACAGGUGUGAAAGUUGACCAGGUACACAGUACCAGCCGUGAGCUUCGGGAAGUAGUUAUCGGGAGUUAGACCGUAGGUGCAAAGCACCGGCCUAAGCUUCUGGAUCAGGUAAGAGAUAACAGGGUUCGAAAUUUAGGCCUUUGGUACAAAGCACCGGCCUAAGCUUCAGGGAGAGCAGGAGAUCUGGAGGGUGGUUCUGGUAGAAGGUUUUGAGCUAUAGGAAGGUGAUCUCAAUUAGUUCUCUCACAGACGGGACACUCGCUUUUAUAUUCAACGGCCGGUUACGUUUGGGGAAUAUUUGGAAAUGGUAAUCGGGAAGGGAUUAACGGGAAGUGGUAUUUGAUACGAUCGGAAAGGUAGGUGGCGACAUCUCACGGAACUUCAGGAAAAUAGUUUUCAUCAUUGCUUCCUAAAAUGAUUAUAAAAA